rnacentral:rRNA from 1 species
ACAGCAGUAGCCGCGGUAACACAGAGGGUGCGAGCGUUAAUCGGAUUUACUGGGCGUAAAGCGUGCGUAGGCGGCUUCUUAAGUCGGAUGUGAAAUCCCUGAGCUUAACUUAGGAAUUGCAUUCGAUACUGGGAAGCUAGAGUAUGGGAGAGGAUGGUAGAAUUCCAGGUGUAGCGGUGAAAUGCGUAGAGAUCUGGAGGAAUACCGAUGGCGAAGGCAGCCAUCUGGCCUAAUACUGACGCUGAGGUACGAAAGCAUGGGGAGCAAACAGGAUUAGAUACCCCAGUAGUCCCUGUCUCUUAUAC